GGGGGGGGCAGGGAAGGAGGGAGAGAGGGAGAGAAAUGUCACCCGUAGCCCGGGCCCGCGGGGGAGAGGUGGCGCGUUAGAGAUGGAGAGAGAGAAAGAGAAAGAUAGAGAGGGGGAGCGAGACCUCCGCCGGCCCCGCGAACUUGUCAAGUAGAAAACACGAAGCCUUUGGUCUCAAAGAACUUAGACCAUCAUGGCUACGAAAACUACUGCUACUCAGAAAGUAUGUAAUUCUGGAGCUCCUUAGUGACGAAAGUAGUGCAAGGCAACAUCAGAGCAGUUGCCAAGUGAUCUUCUCCACAGCAUGCAUGAACUUCAGCCUGGAACUGAAGAGGACUCAUCAAAUGCCUUAGGAAAGACAGCAUGGAGUUGGAAGAGAAGCAGGGAUCUCCACGAAGGGCAGUCAGUUAUACUCUUGGUGUGUGGAGGAACAGGUCCUGUUCUCGCUGUUGUUACUCCCACAUAGGCAGACUGUAAUUGAUUAUGUGUGGGUAGGGCCCUAUUGAAAUUCAGGAGAUUCUGCAGUAGUGCGGGGUUCUUUUUGUGAAAGUUCAGUUGCAAGAUCAGGACCCCACUGUGACUCCUAACUGUGAAUUCUGUCAGUGUAUCAUUGAUUGUGCUGGAACCUGCCUUUUGGGAUAAUUACCAAAUACUAUAUUCCUCAAAACUUCUUAAUGGCACUGAGGCUUUGUGGAUAGUUGGUCACAUGAGAAAAUUCAGCUGGAGUGGGCAUUUGCUGCACAGCUACACAUUGUGUGGACUUGAGAAUACCUCAAGAGCUGAAAUGCUGAACUACAGCAACAGAGCCCAUCAAGACUACUUCUACCUGAUACCUCUCCUUCAAUAUCAAGAGUUUGACUCUGGUUUUGAUCAACAUAGGAUGCCAACUUCCAUCAUUCAAUCAUUACAUUUUCAGACAACACUGGAUAUUUUCUUCUCGACUGCCUCUCAUGUAUUGGUUGACUUCUUCAUAAACAGAAAUGUUCACUAUCUUUCUUUAAAUUUCUUCUUAAAAGUUUUACGUACUGUGAAGCUUAAAACAGUCUCACUAGACAACAGAUAUAUUGCAGGUAUAUUAAUGCCAACACAUAUCACAGUAGUACUGUGUCAUUGCAUUUGUACUCUGCCAUAAUUUCUCUGUUGUCUCUUUAUGUAGAAUUUAAGCACAUCUAUAUUUUGUUUUGUGUUUAUUCAUGGUCCAGCGUAAUGUGAAGUGGUCCAGGGUAAGGCCUUCCAAGAUUUAUGGUAAUACAAAUAAAUAAUAAUGAAUACCUGCUGGAUGCUGUAGUGUAGCUGUUAGAUUCUGUUGUGCCUAAUGUCACAUCAUAUUUAGUGCAGAAAGAAGGUUCUCCAACUAGAGGCCUCACAAAAGGGAAAGAAGUGAGUUGCAGCCAACAGAAAAAAUGCUAGCCUCAGAGGCCUUCUCAGCUGUCAAACUGAAGUCAGUAGCUACUGGCAUUGUAUCCUGAAAGCAUCCCUCUCUUCUCUAUAGCUGUAAGAACAGAUUCUCCCUCCUCAUAUAAGGAAGUAAAUGCAAAUAUCACAAAGUUCUGCAGUGUGUGCAGAAGGUUAAAGGACUUUUUAUACUUCCAUAGCAUCCUUAGUUCGUUCCCUUCCUGACACAGCCUCUCUUGGUACAGAAAUCUUGAAUAACCACAACUGUGCCAUUUGUCAGUCUUUUUUUCAAAUGCCAUUUGAUUUUUUUUGAGAAGAAACUUAGACUAGUUUUUGUUUGGUAUCUUGGCACAUUGCUAUCUCGUAGUGCUCUGUUUUCAUUGUGCCCUGAGGGUAAUGAUUCUUCAGAAGAGUGUUAAGGAUGAAUUCCAUUAGAAAUUCCCCAGGUAUGUCACCCUCUUUCUGUAAGUGGGUCUGCAUGUAACCCUUUCCUUUCUUUCAAAGGGACGAUGAAAUGUCAGAGUAUAGGUCAUACAGAGAUGAUGGAAUGUUUAGUGCCUGGCUGAUACAGAGAUGGUAGAUUAGACUAUGCAGACAAAUGAUGCUGUAUGUACCAAAGAAAUUAUAGUCAAAUAAUUUUAUCAGAAUAAACAAAAAAGCUUAAUUACAAGUGGUUCUGUAGCUGAAUAGGAGAAGUUUAAUAAGAGCUCUGGGCUUGUUGAUGGGAUGGAGACAGUUGCUGUGAAAUACUGUGGGAGACUGGAGAGGCUGUACAACCCAAAAGCUUGAUUGUAGCAAGAGUCCUUGGUUAUAUAUGUACAGACUGGAUAAACUUAACAUUCUGCUACAUUACACCAUCUUGCACAGGCUGUGUAUUUAGAUAUCAUCAAGAACUACUUUUUGGGCAAACAAGCUAGAGAAUCCAGAGGAGGGGGACAGCCCUUGAUUUAGUCAAGAUCAGCACACAACAAAUAGAAGAACCAUUCAGUAGUGAAAUAUCAUAUUCAAGUUUCUCAUACUUGUAGGAGAGAAAAAGAUUAAAAUAAAAAGAAAAAAAGACCCAGUGUUGUGUAAAAAAGAAUUGCAUACUAAUGAAGAUAGUUUAAAUAAAUAUUAAAAAAUUCACAGGGGCUUUGUUUUCUGAGUCUAACCCAGUUGAAUAAGAAUUAUCUUACACAAUUCAACAGUAAAGGAAAUUACUAGAAAUUAAUAGAGCUUUUUGAAAAAGUUAAAAUCCAAGCAAGCAAAGCAGAAAAGAGCACAAUUCUGGCAAGUUAAAUGUAGACCUAUUAUAAGGCAGAACAAAAAGAUUUUGAAAUGCAAUGGGCUAAAAUUCUAAAAGCCAAACUCCAUUUUUUUCAAGUGUAAGUUUUGCUAGUAAGGAGGUAAGUUUAAGAGAUAAUUGUGGUUAGGGAGAAUAUUGAAGACAAAGCCAUCACAGAAAGAAACAACUGAAUUCAUUGCAUUGGCAAGGUUUAUGAUAGAGAUUAGGGGCAUCCCUAUGUAGAAAUCAUUUUUUACAGGGAACAGUUCAGAUUUGAAAUAUCAAUAAAAGAUGUUUUAACAAAUUGAUAGAAUAAACUUUAAUAAAUUGCCAAAUAACAUGUUCAUUCAGUAGUCCUAGAAAAAGUCAGAAAUUAAAUUGAUGAGCCUUGAUAACAGAGGAAUGGAAAGUAACGAAUUUGAUCCUAGUUUUAAAAAGGGCUCUAGUGCUGGUCAUGAACUAAUGGAACUAAAAAAUCUGGCUACCAUGACAGACAAAAUGCCAGUAAAUGUGAUAAAGAAUACAGUUAAUAAGAACAUUGAUAGGUGUAACAGGCGACCAUCGUCUUGGCUUUUCUACAAGUAGUUUUGUCUUAGAGCUUUGCAAGUUAUUUGAAGGAGUCAGCAGAUUCACAGAAAAGAAUGAAAAAGUUUUUAAAAAGUUCUGUAACCAAAAACUGUUAACAAAAUGAAGUAUAGAGUCACUUAAAAUUCUUUCAGUAAAGUGUUAGAAGAUAAGGAACAGUAUAGUGACUAAUGGGCAGUUUUCACAUUGCCACCUCACAAAAGUUUGUACUGGCACUUUUGCUGGUCCACCUGUUCCUAAACAGUCUGAAAAAGUGAUAAAGAUUGCAGGUGAUAAAAGGAAAAUAUUCACAGUUGGAGUGAGACCUAUUGUUGACCCUGAAGGAUCUCACAGCAGGAUCUGUGGUGAUCCAGGAGCCUUGGCUGUCAGAGCGGCCAGAUAUUGCUGACCCCACUGUUCAGCCAUAUCUAUCAUCAGAGAGAGGCAGUGGCUGUUGGAUUACAGCAGCCAUCACACCGUAAACUGUGAGCUCAGCAGGCUGUGACCAGUUCUGCCACUCAGGAAGGCAGGCACUUGUAGCUGUUCUUUCUAACAGCAGGGGCUGCAAAUUGGAGAGAAGAUUCUUUCUCCCUGUUUCUUAGGGUUUCACAGCCUCAAUGAGCCUAAAGUACAGGUUUUGAACCUGAAGUUCCUGCCUGCCACAGGGUUGGAAUAUCACUCUUAGUGAUCAGGAAUAUCUUGCUGCUGUGAGAUGCCAGGGCUCUCAAGUCACCUUACUGGUGUUUGCACAUAUUUUAGCAGCUCUGGAUACUUUUUUUUUUGCUACUGAAAAUUUUCCAGCAUCAUAAAAUAUUUGUAUUUUAGUUGCCCUUGACAUACCUUAAUUCCUGUUGACCUGAGUGUCAUACAAGCACAUCCGUAAGUAAUUUGUAGAGAUGUUAUCUUUUCUAACACACUGUGCAUAUUUAUGUUAGGAAUUAUGGUGGUGUCAAAUUUUAGGCACACCAAAUUAUAAGCCAUAUUCAAAUGGUUUAAAUAUGUUUAUCUUGAAGAAAUAAUUUAUCUAAAACUAUUAUGGUGUAUUUUAUGAAAUUUAAAAAAAUACUGGAAAACAAUGUUAUUGACAGUAGUGUUUUAAAAGGGACUAAAGAAAGGUGCAGGUGAGCAUGUUCUGUUUAACUUUUGUGUUCCAUAUUUCUUACUCUUGUAUUGAUACAUAUAUGUAAUGAGGUGAUUUGUGCAUGUUUUGUAUUAUCUUCCCAAAUACCUGUUGCUAACUUAUAUGAUUCUGAAGUUGUCUUUGCUCAGACUUGAGCUACUAGGUGAAUAUGAGAUGAAGAGGAAUCUUUAUCUUGUGUCAGAAAGGAACAUGUAAGGGAGGAGACAGUGACUUCUGCUAUAGUGUAGAAAAAGGUGAUUUCCUGGUGUCAUCCGUGAGUGACGAAAGAGGGAUUAAUGAGACUAGACAAGGCAUAUGGGUACAGAAGCAGUGAUGAUGUGCAUUGAUAGGUCUGGGGAUUAGUGUAUGUGAAUGAAGAAUUUGGAAUAGGUAUCAGAAAAGGAGUUUCUGUAAGAGGCGGAAAGAUCACAGUUGGAUAAAUAUACUGGGAUCAGUUGGAAGUCACUUUACUACAAAGCAUGGUUACAGCUCUCUAACUGACUCUUGCUCACUCCACACCUGCCCUAAUUAUACCCUUCCCCAUGUCUUCUGGAACCUCACCUUCUUUUCCAGUUCCUGCACAUGACCCUUUUAAGUGGAAAACCUCCUUUUCUGCUUACUCCAGGAACAGUUACACACAAAGGUUCAGAUGAUCCUGUAAAUCUCUCCUAACUAAAGCUUCUCUUCUGUCCCACUAUACUUCUGCCUCCUGCGUAUGGGGUUCCACACUGCAGAUGCAAACAGACAAAUGAAUCAUAGAACAGAAUCAUAGAAUCAUUUAGGUUGGAAAAGGCCCUUAAGGUCAUCAAGUUAACUAUAAACCUAGCAGUAUGAAGUCCACCCUAAACUGUCUCUCUAAGCGCCAUGUCUACAUAUCUUUUAAAUUCCCUGGGCAACCUGUUCCAGUGCUUGACAACUCUUUCAUUGCCCUUCUCUGGUGCUCCAGCACCUCAAUGUCUGUCUCGUAACAAGAAGCCCCAAACACAUUAUUGGUGGUGUAGCCUCACCACUGAAUACAAAGGGAUCCAAAUGAGAUGCUGUGGAAGUGCUGGGUGAAAAAAUAAUGCUUCUCCUUUCCAGCAUACAGUUUGCACCUUCUUCAAGUGGGACAUGUCCCAUCAUUUGAAGUCUGCUGAUCAAAAAUUAAGUAAUUCGUUGCUUUUCCUCUCUUCAUGUAACACUCAUAAGAAUGUGAUGAUUUUUUUUUUCCACAUGGUGAGUUAUGACUUUUAGAUAAUGUUUGUCUUACUAGACAGCAGAAAAAAAAUCUCAGGUUUCUAAACCUUGGUCCCUUUGACUUACAUUUUUCUGUGAUCUAUGACCUUCCUAAAAAUAAAUGAAUAAUUUCAGUGGAUUAUUGCACCUACUGGCAAUAAAUUGAAGCUUAUGAACAGUAUGGUUGCUUUUCUUAAUUAUUACUUUGCUGAUCCCUAGAAAGUUGUUCAUGAAGACUAAAGAGUCAGCAGAAAUAUUGAAAGCAAUGUGAUAGGGCAUCCCCUUAAAUGCAUGCGUUUUUUUUAAAUGCAGUGGGGUUUUUUUGUCACAGAUAUUUUAAUAAGUUUUAAGCUUUUAUUUGACAGUUUUGCUUCUUAAUAUUGAUUAUGGUUGCACAUUUAUGUCUAUGACUAAACUUAACUAACAAGAUGCAUGAUUUCUGCUAGAGCUUAAAAUUCAGAAAUUAAUAAUCCUUUCAGCAUGUGACCAUACGAAUAGAUUAUGUACCAAGAUAGAAUCAUAGAAUAGAUUGGGUUGGAAAAGACCUCCAAGAUCAUCAAGUCCAAGCCCUGAUCCAACUCCAAUUACUAUAUCAUGGCACUAAGGGCCACGUCCAAUCUCUUUUUAAAAACCUCCAGGGAUGGUGAAUCCACCACCUCUCUGGGUAGGCCGUUCCAAUGCCUGAUAACCCUCUCUGUAAAGAAUUUCUUCCUA